CGGUACGUAAAGAAACUUACGAAAUUUUUAAAAAAUUAAGGAUACGAGGAUCCAUUGAUAACUAAGAUCCAGUUGUUUGCAAGUGUAUUAUCCUUAUCAUCAGAACUGUUUUUUUUUAAUUGAUUUUGCAAAAUAAACUAUCUGUAAGAAAUGUAGAAAUGAAAAGAAUAAUGAAACCGAAAAAAAAGCAUACAUAUGACUACAGCUAUCCAAAACAAAAU